UCCACCAUCCCAAGGCCCUCCUCUUAGCUGUGCUCAUUGGUCUCGGGGCUGAAAAAACUACUCUAGGACGUGGUUGGAUAAACGCAUGUUGUUCAGCAGAGGCCGUUAACCUUUAAAGCGCUGAUACGUUUUGGUUUAUUUCAAAUUUUUUACUCCGAAUUGCUGUCUUUUUAAGAAGUCUCUGAAAUCGUCUCCCUUGACAGGGCAAGAGAAACGUGCCUUAAAUCUCCGUCUCGUGGAAGAUCUGCUUGGCUGGCAGCUGAUAUGUGUUGCUGUUGGCUUUUAAGGAGCAUCUCUGUUUCGUGAUUAUUUUAUUGUUUAGCUUUGAUUUAUUUUAUUUUCAUUUUUCUUUUUGUUUUGUUUGAUUGGCUUUUUUUUUUCUUUUGGUCUUUUGCAUUUGGUUUUUCAAAGAGCUUUGGCAAACACCAGAGCCAUCAAGGCCAGGGCAGGCCCUCUAUCCUUCUUUUCUUACUGAUGCUCUUGACCUGAUUUCCUUGGGUGCUCCUCUGCAAUCUACCAAGGUGCAAAAUUUGCCAAAUUAUCUACUGCCUCCAAUCCCAGCCUUCUCCCAUCCAUGGGAUGCUCCCUCCAGUUCUGUCUGGCUUCACUGCAGAUAAAAGAAUGGGAAAACAAAUAUAAGUGGUGGAACCCUGUGGCUCUGCCUUCCCAGGACUGUUUGGGGUGACCCCUGUGCUGUGCACUGACCUCCUGCAAGCAGCUGCUUGAAGAAUCACUCCCAUGCCCUGAGCUCACAGGCUGGAGUAAUUUGCUGAUGCUGUACAAGGAAUUGUCUCUCCUGGAGACCUGGCUGGUGUGAUCAGAACUCACAUAUGGUACCAGAACAAAGGGCCCU